GAUUAACGCUGGCGGCGUGCAUAACACAUGCAAGUCGAACGAUGACACUUAGUAGACUUCUUCUUAAAGACACUAAGCGGCUUAGUGGCGAACGGUUGAGUAACGCGUGCUUAUCCUUCCUUACACAAGUGGAUAGCCUUUGGCUACGACGAAUAAUACCCUAUAACACCAUACAAGCACAUUCUAGACUGGUCAAAGUGGUAUCGGUGUAAGAUGGACUUGCUUCUGAUUAGCUAGUUGGAGAGAUAAAAGCUCACCAAGGCAACGAUCAGUAGCCGGCAUGAGAGAGUGGACGGGAAAAUUGGGAGAGAGACAAGGCCCAGACACCUAAGGGAGGCAGCAGGGGGGAAUUAUGCACAAUGGGGGAAACACUAAUGCAGCGACGCCGCGUGAUUUAGAAGGCCUUCGAGAAGUAAAAAUCGUUUGUAUAGGAAGAAAAUGACAGUACUAAACGAAUAAGGUCCGGCUAAUUACGUG
rnacentral:rRNA from 1 species